rnacentral:rRNA from 1 species
AUGCCGCCGCCUCACAGCACACAUCCCUCAUCUCCCCUUCCUCCCCGGUCCCGCCUCCUCCAGAGCCUCGGCUCGUGCUCCAGAGGAGCCGUCACGUCCGCCGCCUCCUCCCCCUCGCCCUCGCCGCCGGGAUGGCCCCGCCCUCUCCGCUACGCCGUCCUCGGCGCCGGCUUCGCGGGGCUCUCCGUCGCGUGGCACCUCCUCAAGCAAAGCCCGAAGUAUUCGCGCGUGUCGGUGGACGUCUACGACGAGAACGGCGUCGGGGGAGGCGCCUCGGGGGUCUCUGGAGGGCUUCUCCAUCCGUACUCACCAAAAGCCAAGCUUCUCUGGAGAGGAGGCGAAUUCUGGAAAGAGAGCAUGGAUCUCCUGCGCAGCGCAGAGAAAGCGAAUGGAAUCGCUGGAUCAGAUGGCGAUGGUCGGGAUGAUGAAGCCCUUAUCUGGAGAAGGGGAAUUUUGCGGCCACCUACGACAGAGAAGGCUGCUGAUAUAUUGCUAGAGAAUGCUCAGAGUUGCCUCCAGAGUUGCAGCCUUCAAGUUCUUGAUUCGGAUGCUGCACAAAGACUGAUCCCUGGGUUACGUGUUCCGCUCAACCUUGCGAUUUAUAUGCCACUAGCACUGAACAUCAACCCUAAGAAAUAUUUGCAGGCAUUGUUCCUUGCGUGCCAAAAUAUGGCCAAGGAAACAUCUGUAUCACCCAGUGAACUGAAAGAGUUCAGUUUGUACAACAAACAUAUCGAUAAUCUACAACAACUUUCAGGAGAUUAUGAUGCAGUGAUCAUCUGCCUUGGGGGCAAAGCUAGCUCACUUCCAGAACUUACAAAUAAGUUGCCUCUUAGAACCUGUAGAGGAGUUAUUGCUGAAUUCAAACUGCCAUCAGAUACAGCAGAAAAAUAUGGCAGUCAAAGUCCUUCAAUCUUGUCUGAUGCAUGGCUGGCAUUCCAAGGACCCUGCACCGUUUCUGUCGGGUCAACUUGGCAAUGGAAGUCUGACAAUCAUGAUCCAAGUGUAUCUGAUGAAGAAGCACGUACUGCAAUGGAAGAGCUGCUCCCCAAAGCUUCUGCUGUUUAUCCAGGAAUAAGUAAAUGGGAUUAUGUACGAGCAAGGGCUGGGAUAAGAGCCAUGCCUCCAUUGACAGCCAAUGGAUCCCUGCCACUGUUGGGUUGUCUAAAUGAUGUUAUAGGCGAGAGAAGCAAUUGUGCCUUUUGGCUAGUCGGUGGCCUUGGAGCCAGGGGCCUCCUGUAUCAUGGAUUGGCUGGAAAACUAACUGCCAAAGCUGUGAUUUCCAGUGAUGAGAACAUGAUACCUUCUGAAUUCACCUGCUGGAAGGCGAUCAAGGCUUCGCGGUGA